UACGGGGGGGGCAAGCGUUGUUCGGAAUUACUGGGCGUAAAGGGCUCGUAGGCGGCCAACUAAGUCCGAUGUGAAAGCUCCCGGCUUAACUGGGAAAUUGCAUCGGAAACUGCUCGGCUUGAAGGUGGGAGAGGGUAGCGGAAUUCCCGGUGUAGUGGUGAAAUGCGUAGAUAUCGGGAGGAACACCAGUGGCGAAGGCGGCUACCUGGCCCAUUCUUGACGCUGAGGCGCGAAAGCUAGGGGAGCAAACGGG
rnacentral:rRNA from 1 species